AAAAAAGGAAAAAAAGGAAAAAAAUGGAAAAAAAGAAAAAUGGAAAAAAAAAGAAAAAAAAAGGAAAAAAGGAGAAAAAAGAAAAAAAGGAGAAGACUAUUACUCGACUAUGCCUGUGGAUCUUGAAGAUGUUGAGGUAUCCAAAAAUUUGAGAGAUUUACAAGGUUCCACUUUUGCUAUUAUUAGCGAAUGAGUGAAGCAAUAUGGAGCUUUUCAAGAAAGUUUCAAAUGGUU